GCCAGAGUGAUGUAGUGGUUUGAGAGUUGGACGAUGACUUUGGAGACCAGGGUUCAAUUCCCUGCUUGGCCA
rnacentral:tRNA from 1 species